ACCUAGCAGGCUCAGUUGGUAGAGCAUGUGACUCUUGAUCUCAGUGUUGUGAGUUUAAGACCCAUGUGAGGUA
rnacentral:tRNA from 1 species